rnacentral:rRNA from 1 species
UACGUGAGGGGCGAACGUUGUUCGGUGUCACUGGGCUUAAAGGGUGCGUAGGUGGUUGCGUAAGUAAGGUGUGAAAUCCCUCGGCUUAACCGGGGAACUGCGUCUGAUACUGGAUGGCUUGAGUUCGGGAGAGGGAUGCGGAAUUCCAGGUGUAGCGGUGAAAUGCGUAGAUAUCUGGAGGAACACCGGUGGCGAAGGCGGCAUCCUGGACCGACACUGACCACUGAGGAGCGAAAGCCAGGGGAGCAAACGGG